GAGUUUGAUCCUGGCUCAGAUUGAACGCUGGCGGAAUGCUUUACACAUGCAAGUCGGGCGGCAGCAUGGACUUCGGUCUGGCGGCGAGUGGCGAACGGGUGAGUAAAGUAUCGGAACGUGCCCAGUCGUGGGGGAUAACGUAGCGAAAGCUACGCUAAUACCGCAUACGAUCUAUGGAUGAAAGCGGGGGAUCGCAAGACCUCGCGCGAUUGGAGCGGCCGAUAUCAGAUUAGGUAGUUGGUGGGGUAAAGGCCCACCAAGCCGACGAUCUGUAGCUGGUCUGAGAGGACGACCAGCCACACUGGGACUGAGACACGGCCCAGACUCCUACGGGAGGCAGCAGUGGGGAAUUUUGGACAAUGGGCGCAAGCCUGAUCCAGCCAUGCCGCGUGAGUGAAGAAGGCCUUCGGGUUGUAAAGCUCUUUCAGCUGGAAAGAAAUCGUACUUAUUAAUACUAGGUGCGGAUGACGGUACCAGCAGAAGAAGCACCGGCUAACUACGUGCCAGCCGCCAGG
rnacentral:rRNA from 1 species